UCUGAUAUUAAAUUAUUAAAGGAAUUAAGUGAAAAACCAAUUGAUUUAUUCAAUUAUUUGCUUAAGUUUCAGAUCGAUAGAGUUCAAUGAAUUCAACAAUCACUUCAUUUUGUUUACGUGCCAUCUCGACAAACUGCACUCACCGCUACCGUCCUGUAGAAAUGAGAAGUUGAGAACUGUACAGUUACGAAUCCCCACACACGCUCAGUUCAGUUACUCCUUUCAGUUAAAAAUAUAGAACAUUGCAUUUGUCUCAGUUUAACUGUACAGUUUUGUUGAACUGACAAAAUGAGCAACUGAGAUACCCAUACACGUGCAGUUUUAACUGACAGUUAUAACUGAACAGUUAUAACUGUGAUUUAAAACUGCACGUGUGUGGCCGGCUUUAGGCUACGUGCGAGUAAUUCGUCAUCUACACCAAAUCGCCUUCUCAGAGUGAUCUAGAGUGAUCUGGAAUGUCCUUAUCUUUGGUCUAGAUAUGAAAAUUCUUAUCAUCUGCUGCUGGUUCUCGUGGAUAUAUAUAAAGCCAGCUCCCCAACCACAACACCAAUAUACUCUCGAAACUUGCAAGGAGAAGAUUCAGAAAACCUGUGUAGACGCACAAUUUACAGAUCAGUUAUUCUCUAGCAAAAUCUACGGUGUUAAAUCUGUUUAAGUCUUCUUAAUCAAAUCAUCUGAUAAACCAUAAGCGAAUAUCCACUUCUGUUUCAAAAGAACAGCCCAAAUUCAAUACGUUUUCCUAAGACAUAGGCCUAAGCUGAAGUCAAAAUGGUUCAACAACAGUUCGUGCAAGAUGAAGCCUUCAGUGUCCCAAAGAAUAAUUUUGAACCGAAUGACGCCAGGACACGCUGCUGCUCCACUGACAGCACAAACAGCAGCGAAGUCAGCUUUGUCAGCAGCGUCGACAGCCAGGCGUCAGCCGACUCAUCCAAGCGUAGCAAAUCUAAGAAGAGCUGAGUCAAAAGGAUUUUUAAGAAACACGAAAAGAAGAAUAUUUUAAUGACAAACACUCUGCUUUCCUAUACAUAUCUGUAGAUUCCUAAAGAGAUUUGUUCAUAGGUCUGUAUAUAUUAUUUAUAUACAGGUAAGAAUCUGUAAAAUACGACCAAAAGCCAUUUAGUGUUAUAAGUCUGUGGCGUCCUUGUUUACAUGUCAAGUAGGCCUAUAUUCAUAAAGAUUUUGUACCUGAUAUUUGUCGUCUCGUCUGGGCCUAUAUCAAACCAGAAUAGUUCUUAGGAGUAAUUUGGUUUUAUAUAUAUACUAUUUAACUACAUAUAUGUAUUUUAUAUCAAAAGUAAUAGAUAUGCUUCACAGAUAAACCCAAUAAAUAUUUCACACACUCA